GUUCCAAAGCCACCUGGCAACGCAGCAAGACCUUUCUCCAAAAAACUCAAGAUCUCCAUGGAGUCGCACAGCAGCUUAAUUACGCAGUGUAUACAAUCAGGAGCGGUACCCCACGAUAGGACGUGUGCAGUGUGUGAGUGAGGUCACCAGCCAGGCUCCUGCCAACUCAGCCCCAUACUGCUGAAGUGCAAGUCAUCCAACCCCAAAGGUAUUUGUUUGACAUCCUUCAUCGAAAUCACAAAUGCAGCUGUCCUUUUUGUCUCUGUCUGGAAACCAACCCUGCAGGUCCACUCACAUGUGUAAAAUGACGUGUCUAAGGUUAUUGACUGUAACACUCUUUGUGAGAACAGAUCAUAAACAGCUUAAAAACCA